UUUUAAAGAGAAGAAUAUAUGCAGAGUUCAAACCUUUUAUGUUCAUGAACUGAUAUGUACUACACUUUCACAGAUUUUUUUUUUUUUUUCAUUUCAAGAAAGCAUUGUAUGUUUAUCUAGUCUCCUGGAAUACAGAGAAAGGACAUAUGCUUAUCUGUUCAUCUGGAUUCCCAGGACCAAAAGACCAACAGCCUGCACAGAGACAUCCUGCUACAGAUCAGUGACUGUACUCUGCAGUCAGGUUAAUGAAGAAUGAGCUGGCUGAAAGAUGAACAUGAUUAUGUGUAAGACAACAGAUCUUAUGGAAGCAGAAGACUGUAUGGGGGACCUACACAGUGACCAACAGCAGACUAGCAGCAGAACACUGAACAAAAGGAAAACCAGACUUGUCUGUUACAUAUGUUUUCUCACAAGAAAGAGCACACACGGGGAUUCAGUCCCCAUGUGACUUCAGGAGAAGGCAGAGGAGUUACAAAGAAGGGAUUAACUGGCAAUACAUUUGCAAUUAAGUGCUCUGCCAUCCUUGCUCUCUUUUCAGCAGCUUUACAUUUCCUUCUGUUGACGUUAUACCCCCAAGCUACCCAAAGCAGGUGGGGUGGUCGGGAACGAAGAGUCUCAUAAGCAAAUGCUAAAGAGCUCCUAAUUCAAGAUGGACACUAAAACUGCUGAAAAUUUUGUAACAAAUUGUCAACUUUUUGUCCCCCUUCCAAAAGCUCCCAGAGACUCUUGCUCUUGGUGUUGGGAUCUCCUUUCUAACACAGAUAUUGUUUAAAUACGCAAUGUUAUUUUACUUUAGUUCUCAAAUGAGUCUUUAUUUCAUCCAGAUGUUACUGCUCAUAUCCCUGUCUUCGUUUAGAGCAACACUUUGUAGAAUACCUAAUCUUUAAGUCACUUUUACUUUAAUUCACCACUAUAUUUUUAAACGACUGUGUUUGACAUAAACCACUAGCUGGUUUCACAACUGCAGCGUCUCCACCUUUGGCAAACUCUUCACUUAUUUAUUCCCUCCUCUUUUAAUGGAGUUGCUGGAACCACUUAAAAUCCAUUAAUACACUACAAAUUUCAAGCACAAAUCAUAUUUGUGUGAACUAGUGCAGUUGGAAAUGCUGAAUAACUUCUACUUCAUAUGAAAUCAAGUCCAUUGUAAAUGUGUAAUUGCGAUCCUCAAACAGCUUAAAGAUUUUCUGCAAAUACUGUGGAAGUUGACUAGCCUCCUGCCUCAGCACCGUGCCCAAGCCUGUUUGGAUGAGUUCACCUGUUGGGAACUUCAGC
ensembl:lncRNA